rnacentral:rRNA from 1 species
AGGACGAACGCUGGCGGCGUGCUUAACACAUGCAAGUCGAGCGGAAAGGCCCUUCGGGGUACUCGAGCGGCGAACGGGUGAGUAACACGUGAGCAACCUGCCCUUAGCUUCGGGAUAGCUCCGGGAAACCGGAAUUAAUACCGAAUAUGACUUUGGCUGACAUCAGCAGAAGUGGAAAGUUUUUCGGCUAGGGAUGGACUCGCGGCCUAUCAGCUAGUUGGUGAGGUAACGGCCCACCAAGGCGACGACGGGUAGCCGGCCUGAGAGGGCGACCGGCCACACUGGGACUGAGACACGGCCCAGACUCCUACGGGAGGCAGCAGUGGGGAAUAUUGCGCAAUGGGCGAAAGCCUGACGCAGCGACGCCGCGUGGGGGAUGAAUGCCUUCGGUUGUAACCCUUUCAGCAGGGACGAAGCGAAAGUGACGGUACCUGCAGAAGAGCGCCGGCUAACUACGUGCCAGCAGCCGC